rnacentral:rRNA from 1 species
GAUGAACGCUGGCGGCAUGCUUAACACAUGCCAGUCGGACGGCAAGACGUGUUUCCCGUGGCGGACGGGUGGGUAACGGGUAAGAACCUGCGCUUGGCAUGGGAACAACAGCUGGAAACGGGUGCUAAUACGCCGUAGUCACAGUAGCAAAAGGAGGGAUCCACCUGAGGAGGCGCUGGGGUCUGAUUAGCUAGUUGGUGGGGGAAGGGCUUACCAAGGCGACGAUCUGUAGCUGGUCUGAGAGGAUGAUCAGCCACACUGGGACUGAGACACGGUCCAGACUCCUACGGGAGGCAGCAGUGGGGAAUAUUGGACAAUGGGCGCAAGCCUGAUCCAGCCAUACCGCGUGGGUGAAGAAGGCCUUCGGGUUGUAAAGCCCUUUUGUUGGGAAAGAAAAGCAGCAGGUUAAUACCCCGCUGUUCUGACGGUACCCAAAGAAUAAGCACCGGCUAACUUCGUG